rnacentral:rRNA from 1 species
UACGGAGGGGGCGAGCGUUGUUCGGAAUCACUGGGUGUAAAGCGCGCGUAGGCGGCCUCGUAAGUCCGUUGUGAAAGUCAAAGGCUCAACCUUUGAAAGCCGAUGGAUACUGUGAGGCUAGAGUCCGGAAGAGGCGAGUGGAAUUCCUGGUGUAGCGGUGGAAUGCGCAGAUAUCAGGAGGAACACCAAUAGCGAAGGCAGCUCGCUGGGACGGUACUGACGCUAAGGCGCGAAAGCGUGGGGAGCGAACAGG